CAGUAGCCACGGUAAUACGUAGGGUGCAAGCGUUAAUCGGAAUUACUGGGCGUAAAGCGUGCGCAGGCGGUUUGUUAAGACAGAUGUGAAAUCCCCGGGCUCAACCUGGGAACUGCAUUUGUGACUGGCAAGCUAGAGUGUGGCAGAGGGGGGUGGAAUUCCGCGUGUAGCAGUGAAAUGCGUAGAUAUGCGGAGGAACACCGAUGGCGAAGGCAGCCCCCUGGGCCAACACUGACGCUCAUGCACGAAAGCGUGGGGAGCAAACAGGAUUAGAUACCCCCGUAGUCCCUGUCUCUUAUAC
rnacentral:rRNA from 1 species